CCCUUAGAUGGUCUGGGCGGCACGCGCGCUACAAUGAUGCAUUCAAAAAGUCUUCUGACCUUAGAAGGUUGGGUAUUCUCCAAAGUGCAUCGUGAUGGGAAUAGCUUAUUGCAAUUUUUAAUCUUGAACGAGGAAUUCCUAGUAAGUACAGGUCAUCAACUUGUGUUGAUUACGUCCCUGCCCUUUGUACACACCGCCCGUCGCUCCUACUGAUUGAGUGUCUCGGUGAAUUCUUUGAUCUUCUGUCGAUUCAGUUCACUGAUCCGACGGUGGAAAGUUGAAUGAACUUCGUCACUUAGAGGAAGGAGAAGUCGUAACA
rnacentral:rRNA from 1 species